rnacentral:tRNA from 1 species
CGGAGUGUAGCGCAGCCCGGUAGCGUACUUGCAUGGGGUGCAAGGGGUCGUGGGUUCGAAUCCCGCCACUCCGACGA